GACGAACGCUGGCGGCGUGCCUAAUACAUGCAAGUCGAGCGCAGGAAAUCAUCCGAACCCUUCGGGGGGACGUUGGUGGAAUGAGCGGCGGACGGGUGAGUAACACGUAAAGAACCUGCCCUCAGGUCUGGGAUAACCACGAGAAAUCGGGGCUAAUACCGGAUGGGUCAUCGGACCGCAUGGUCCGAGGAUGAAAGGCGCUUCGGCGUCGCCUGGGGAUGGCUUUGCGGUGCAGUAGAGAGAGGGGGGGGUAAUGGCCCACCCAGGCGACGGUGCAUAGCCAACCUGAGAGGGUGAUCGGCCACACUGGGACUGAGACACGGCCCAGACUCCUACGGGAGGCAGCAGUAGGGAAUCUUCCACAAUUGACGAAAGUCUGAUGGAGCAACGCCGCGUGAACGAUGAAGGCCUUCGGGUCGUAAAGUUCUGUUGGAAGGGAAGAACAAGUGCCGCAGGCAAUGGCGGCACCUUGACGGUACCUUGCGAGAAAGCCACGGCUAACUACGUGCCAGCCGCCGCAGUAACAC
rnacentral:rRNA from 1 species